GUUCUCCUCGAAAUAGCUUUAGGGCUAGCCUCAUGGAUCAUUGAUGGGGGUAGAGCACUGAAUGUGCGCGGGGGCCACAAAGCCUACCAAACGCUAUCAAACUUCGAAUACCAUACAAUGCAGACCAUGGGAGUCAGUCCGCGAGAGAUAAGUUCCGCGGGCAAAAGGGGAACACCCCAGAUCAACCGCUAAGGUCCCAAAGUUCACGUUAAGUGGAGAAGGAUGUGGAAUUGCACAGACAACCAGGAUGUUGGCUCAGAAGCAGCCACACAUUUAAAGAGUGCGUAAUAGCUCACUGGUCGAGUGAUUGUGCGCCGAAGAUGUCCGGGGCUAAACGUGACACCGAAGCGAUGGGUGCAUCUGAAAGGAUGCGCGGUAGAGGAGCAAUGUGCAGAGGCAGAAGCCGUAUCGAGAGGCACGGUGGACACUGCACAAGAGAGAAUGCCGGUAUGAGUAGCGAGAGGCAUGCGAGAAACAUGCCCGUCGAAAGCCCAAGGUUUCCUGGGGAAGGUUCAUCCGCCCAGGGUAAGUCGGGGCCUAAGCCGAGGACGGAAGUCGUAGGCGAUGGACAGCAGGUGUAGAUUCCUGCACUACCGAUGGAAUGAAGCAGUGACACAGAAGGAUAACUCGAGCAGGGUGAUGGUCAACCCUGUGCAAGCAUCAAGGUUGGGUUGUAGUGAAGUACGCAAUCCUAUAAGCUGAGGUGUGAUGCGGACCGAAAUUUCAGUAGGGAAGCGAGUGAGUUCACGCUGGCGAGAAAAGCUGCUAGUACAUCCAAAGGUACCCGUACCGGAAACCGACGCAGGUGGGCGAGGAGAGAAUCCUGAGACGAACGGGAGAACCCUUGUUAAGGAACUCGGCAAAAUGACCCCGUAACUUCGGGAUAAGGGGUGCCUGCGAGAGCAGGCCGCAGAGAAUAGUCACAAGCGACUGUUUAGCAAAAACACAGGUAUCUGCGAAAGCGAGAGCUGACGUAUAGGUGCUGACACCUGCCCGGUGCUGGAAGGUUAAGGGAACAUGUUAGAGCAAUCGAAGCAUCGAACCGAAGCCCCAGUAAACGGCGGCCGUAACUAUAACGGUCCUAAGGUAGCGAAAUUCCUUGUCGGGUAAGUUCCGACCCGCACGAAUGGUGUAACGACUUGUGAGCUGUCUCAACAGGGGGCCCGGUGAAAUUGAAGUAUGGGUGAAGAUGCCCAUUACCUGCGACUGGACGGAAAGACCCCGUAGAGCUUUACUGCAGCCUGAUAUUGAGUUUCGGUAACUGAUGCACAGGAUAGGUGGGAGUCUGAGAGACAUGGGUUUCGGCUCAUGAGGAGACGCUGUUGGGAUACCACUCUUCGGUUACUGAAAUUCUAACAUAGCUCUGUGAAACCAGAGGAUGGACAGUGUCAGGUGGACAGUUUGACUGGGGCGGUCGCCUCCGAAAGAGUAACGGAGGCGCCCAAAGGUACCCUCAGAAUGGAUGGAAACCAUUCGAAGAGCGCAAAGGCAGAAGGGUGCCUGACUGCGAGAUUGACAAAUCGAGCAGAGACGAAAGUCGGGCUUAGUGAUCCGGCGGUAUUGAGUGGAAAAGCCGUCGCUUAACGGAUAAAAGCUACCUCGGGGAU
rnacentral:rRNA from 1 species